rnacentral:rRNA from 1 species
GAUCAAAUCAAGCGCGAGAAGGGCGUUUGGUGGAUGCCUUGGCAGUAAGAGGCGAUGAAGGACGUGAUACUCUGCGAUAAGUCAUGGGGAGCUGAGAAUAAGCUUUGAUCCAUGAAUUUCCGAAUGGGGCAACCCACCUGACAGUUCUCUAUUGUUAGCUCUGCUAUCAAUAGGGAUGCUGAGACAGGUACUUUUAACCUGAAUAUAUAGGGUUUUAAUAGCAAACCCGGGGAACUGAAACAUCUAAGUACCCGGAGGAAAGGAAAUCAACAGAUACUCCCCUAGUCGCGGCGAGCGAACGGGGACCAGCCGAGCCAUGAGAAUGACCAGAACAGUCUGGAAAGACUGGCCAUAGUGGGUGACAGCCCCGUAUGGGAAGUUCGAUUGGACGUAUUAAGUAGGGCGGGACACGUGAAAUCCUGUCUGAAGAUCGGGGGACCACCCUCGAAGGCUAAGUACUCCUUACUGACCGAUAGCGAACCAGUACCGUGAGGGAAAGGUGAAAAGCACCCCGACGAGGGGAGUG